rnacentral:vault_RNA from 1 species
GCACUGGUUUAGCUCAGUGGUUACUUCCUCCUCACCUCCAGUUUGAUAUAUUUACCACUAUAUCUUGGCACUCAAUCCUUAACAGGAUCAAACCACGGGCGCCAUCCAGUGUUUUA